rnacentral:rRNA from 1 species
GACGAACGCUGGCGGCGUGCUUAACACAUGCAAGUCGAACGGCAAGGCCCUGCUUUUGUGGGGUGCUCGAGUGGCGAACGCGUGAGUAACACGUGAGUAACCUGCCCUUGUCUUUGGGAUAACUUAAGGAAACUGGGGCUAAUACAGUAUAGGAGCCCAUGUUGCAUUGUGGGGGUUGGAACGUUUGGGCGGUUGGGGAUGGACUCGCGGCUUAUCAGCUUGUUGGUGGGGUAGUGGCUUACCAAGGCUUUGACGGGUCGCCGGCCUGAGAGGGUGACCGGCGACAUUGGGACUGAGAGACGGCCCAGUCGCGUACGUGAGGCAGCAGUGGGGAACAUUGCACAAUGGGCGGAAGCCUGAUGCAGCAGCGCCGCGUGCGGGAUGACGGCCUGCGGGUUGUAAACCGCAUUCGCCUGUGACGAAGCGUGAGUGACGGUAAUGGAUAAAGAAGCACCGGCUAACUACGUG